UGCAGAAUCCCGUGAAUCAUCGANUNUUUGAACGCAAGUUGCGCCCGAGGCUUCGGCCGAGGGCACGUCUGCCUGGGCGUCGCAC
rnacentral:rRNA from 1 species